rnacentral:misc_RNA from 1 species
AAGUCGUAACAAGGUUUCCGUAGGUGAACCUGCGGAAGGAUCAUUACCAAAUCCAAAACCUUAUCAACACCCAAACUUGUGCACUGAGAGUGGUCCGUUCUCCUCGGUACUUGUUGUCGUAUGUAUGUAUGUAUGUACGUACAACAAACAGGGAGGAGGAGAACGCUUUUUUUUCAACCCCUUUUCAACCAUUAUCUUAACCAUGUGAUGCUGAAAGCAAAAAAAAAACGAAACAUGAGACAACUUUUAACGGUGGAUCUCUUGGCUCGU